rnacentral:rRNA from 1 species
UACGUAGGGGGCGAGCGUUGUCCGGAAUUAUUGGGCGUAAAGAGCUCGUAGGCGGUCUGUCGCGUCUGCUGUGAAAACUCGGGGCUUAACCCCGGGCCUGCAGUGGGUACGGGCAGACUAGAGUGCGGUAGGGGAGACUGGAAUUCCCGGUGUAGCGGUGAAAUGCGCAGAUAUCGGGAGGAACACCGGUGGCGAAGGCGGUUCUCUGGGCCUGUACUGACGCUGAGGAGCGAAAGCGUGGGGAGCGAACAGG